rnacentral:lncRNA from 1 species
CCAAACACCUCCAUUUUCUGCUUUAAAAAUCACCACUGUUACAUUAGUUUUCGGCCAUGAAAACACCUCUAAACUCCAGCAAUUUUCAGCUCAAAUCAACACCAAAAACCAGCUUGAAGCAGUCCCAAUGCACCUCUUAAAUGCAGCUCAAAAGUGCUGCCAGACAGAGCUGCUACAGAGACAACAACAACCCCAAAAAUCAGUUCCAAACUAGCCCUAAACCGUCUUAAAAUCAC